rnacentral:rRNA from 1 species
GACGAACGCUGGCGGCGUGCUUAACACAUGCAAGUCGAACGGAAAGGCCCUGCUUGCCGGGUACUCGAGUGGCGAACGGGUGAGUAACACGUGGGUGAUCUGCCCUGCACUUCGGGAUAAGCCUGGGAAACUGGGUCUAAUACCGGAUAGGAGCCAUUUCUAGUGUGAUGGUUGGAAAGUUUUUUUCGGUGUAGGAUGAGCUCGCGGCCUAUCAGCUUGUUGGUGGGGUAAUGGCCUACCAAGGCGGCGACGGGUAGCCGGCCUGAGAGGGUGGACGGCCACAUUGGGACUGAGAUACGGCCCAGACUCCUACGGGAGGCAGCAGUGGGGAAUAUUGCACAAUGGGCGCAAGCCUGAUGCAGCGACGCCGCGUGGGGGAUGACGGCCUUCGGGUUGUAAACGCCUUUCGCUAGGGACGAAGCUUUUUGUGACGGUACCUAGAUAAGAAGCACCGGCUAACUACGUG